rnacentral:rRNA from 1 species
CCUACGGGAGGCAGCAGUGGGGAAUUUUGGACAAUGGGGGCAACCCUGAUCCAGCCAUGCCGCGUGAGUGAAGAAGGCCUUCGGGUUGUAAAGCUCUUUCGGCCGGGAAGAAAUCGCAUGGGUUAAUACCCUGUGCGGAUGACGGUACCGGCAUAAGAAGCACCGGCUAACUACGUGCCAGCAGCCGCGGUAAUACGUAGGGUGCGAGCGUUAAUCGGAAUUACUGGGCGUAAAGCGUGCGCAGGCGGUUUUGUAAGACAGGCGUGAAAUCCCCGGGCUCAACCUGGGAACUGCGCUUGUGACUGCAAGGCUAGAGUACGGCAGAGGGGGGUGGAAUUCCACGUGUAGCAGUGAAAUGCGUAGAGAUGUGGAGGAACACCAAUGGCGAAGGCAGCCCCCUGGGUCGAUACUGACGCUCAUGCACGAAAGCGUGGGUAGCAAACAGGAUUAGAUACCCUGGUAGUCCACGCCCUAAACGAUGUCAACUAGGUGUUGGGUGGGUAAAACCAUUUAGUACCGUAGCUAACGCGUGAAGUUGACCGCCUGGGGAGUACGGCCGCAAGGUUAAAACUCAAAGGAAUUGACGG